rnacentral:rRNA from 1 species
AUACCGGCGGCUCGAGUGGUGGCCACUUUUAUUGGGCUUAAAGCGUUCGUAGCUGGGUUGUUAAGUCUCUUGGGAAAUCUGGCAGCUUAACUGUCAGGCGUCUAAGAGAUACUGGCAAUCUAGGAACCGGGAGAGGUGAGGGGUACUUCGGGGGUAGGAGUGAAAUCCUGUAAUCCUCGAGGGACCACCUGUGGCGAAGGCGCCUCACCAGAACGGCUUCGACAGUGAGGGACGAAAGCUGGGGGAGCAAACCGGAUUAGAUACCCGGGUAGUCCCAGCCGUAGACGAUGCGCGUUAGGUGUGUCGAUGACCACGAGUCAUCGAGGUGCCGAAGGGAAACCGUGAAACGCGCCGCCUGGGAAGUACGGUCGCAAGGCUGAA